rnacentral:rRNA from 1 species
AGUGGCGCAAGGGUGAGUAAUGCGAAGGUAACCAACCCUGGAGUUGGGCAUAGCCGCGGGAAACUGCGGGUAAUACCCAGCGAUGUCGCGAGAUGGCAUCAUCUUGCGACCAAAGGUGUGAUUCCGCUCUAGGACGGGCCUUCGUGGUAUUAGGUAGUUGGUGAGGUAACGGCUCACCAAGCCGACGAUGCCUACCGGGUGUGAGAGCAUGACCCGGCACACUGGAACUGAGACACUGUCCAGACACCUACGGGUGGCUGCAGUCGAGAAUCUUCGGCAAUGGGCGAAAGCCUGACCGAGCGACGCCGCGUGAGGGAAGAAGGCCUUCGGGUUGUAAACCUCUUUCGUAGAGGAGGAAGGGGCCGUGCAGAGCGGUCUUUGACCUAUUCUAGGAAGAAGCUUGGGCUAAGUUCGUGCCAGCAGCCGCGGUAAGACGAACCAAGCGAACGUUAUUCGGAAUUACUGGGCUUAAAGCGCGUGUAGGCGGAUGACCACGUCAGUCGUUGAAAUCCCCCGGCUCAACCGGGGAACAGGCGCUGAUACGAGUUGUCUGGAGGUGGGUAGGGGAGACUGGAACUUCCGGUGGAGCGGUGAAAUGCGUUGAGAUCGGAAGGAACGCCCGCGGCGAAAGCGAGUCUCUGGACCCAUUCUGACGCUGAGACGCGAAAGCCAGGGGAGCAAACGGGAUUAGAUACCCCGG